CAUGUGAACUUCACUCGAGAAGAAUGGGCUUUGCUGGAUCCUUCACAGAAGAGUCUCUACAAAGAUGUGAUGCAGGAGACCUACAGGAACCUCACUGCUAUAGGUUACAAUUGGGAAGACCAUACUAUUGAAGAACAUUGUCAAAGUUUCAGAAGACAUGGAAGGUAAUUUUCAUGUGCAAGUUGGUAUGAAUAUGCCUCUGAAGAAAUGUUAGUAUGUCCUGGAACUUUUAAAGAAAAGCAACAGUGGUAAAGAAAAAAUAAGUUUAUUGAUUAUUAAAUUCUCACAAAUCCAUGU
rnacentral:lncRNA from 1 species